AUGAACGCUGGCGGCGUGCUUAACACAUGACAAGUCGAACGAAGCACUUUAAAACAAUCUUUCGGGNGCGUUUUAUUGGUGACUUAGGUGGCGGACGGGUGAGUAACGCGUGGGUAACCUGCCUCAUGCAGGGGGAUAACAGUUAGAAAUGACUGCUAAUACCGCAUUAAGCGCACAGUACCGCAUGGUACAGUGUGAAAAGAUUUAUCAGCAUGAGAUGGACCCGCGUCUGAUUAGCUAGUUGGUGAGGUAACGGCUCACCAAGGCGACGAUCAGUAGCCGACUUGAGAGAGUGAUCGGCCACAUUGGGACUGAGACACGGCCCAAACUCCUACGGGGAGGCAGCAGGUGGGGAAUAUUGCACAAUGGGGGAAACCCUGAUGCAGCGACGCCGCGUGAGCGAUGAAGUAUUUCGGUAUGUAAAGCUCUAUCAGCAAGGAAGAUAAUGACGGUACUUGACUAAGAAGCCCCGGCUAACUACGUG
rnacentral:rRNA from 1 species